UACGUAGGGUGCGAGCGUGUCCGGAAUUAUUGGGCGUAAAGAGCUUGUAGGUGGUUUGUCGCGUCUGCUGUGAAAAUCCGAGGCUCAACCUCGGACUUGCAGUGGGUACGGGCAGACUAGAGUGUGGUAGGGGAGACUGGAAUUCCUGGUGUAGCGGUGGAAUGCGCAGAUAUCAGGAGGAACACCGAUGGCGAAGGCAGGUCACUGG
rnacentral:rRNA from 1 species